rnacentral:rRNA from 1 species
AAAAACAUCACCUCUUGUACAUGCCAAAUAAGAGGCCCCGCCUGCCCUGUGACUAUAUGUUUAACGGCCGCGGUAUCUUGACCGUGCGAAGGUAGCGCAAUCAAUUGUCUUUUAAAUGGAGACCUGUAUGAAUGGCACAACGAGGGCUUGACUGUCUCCUUUUCUCAGUCAAUGAAAUUGAUCUCCCCGUGCAGAAGCGGGGGUGAACACAUAAGACGAGAAGACCCUGUGGAGCUUUAGACGCUAGGGCAGCUUAAUGUUGAAUUAUCCUCUCAAAGCAUAAUAUCUGAAACUCCUGCCCUCAUGUCUUUGGUUGGGGCGACCAUGGAGUAAAGAGCAACCUCCACGUGGAAUAGGAGUACUACUCCCUAAAACUAGGGCUACCACCCCACUUGUCAGAAUUUCUGGCCUUAUAGAUCCGGCUUUAUGCCGAUUAACGAAUUGAGUUACCCCAGGGAUAACAGCGCAAUCCCCUUUAAAAGACCAUAUCUAAAAGGGGGUUUACGACCUCGAUGUUGGAUCAGGACAUCCUAUUGGUGCAACCGCUAUUAAGGGUUCGUUUGUUCAACGAUUAAAGUCCUACGUGAUCU